GGGUGCAGCAGGCGCGAAACCUUUACACUGCACGCAAGUGCGAUAAGGGGACCCCAAGUGCGAGGGCAUAUAGUCCUCGCUUUUCUCGACUGUAAGGCGGUCGAGGAAUAAGAGCUGGGCAAGACCGGUGCCAGCCGCCGCGGUAAUACCGGCAGCUCAAGUGAUGACCGAUAUUAUUGGGCCUAAAGCGUCCGUAGCCGGCCACGAAGGUUCAUCGGGAAAUCCGCCAGCUCAACUGGCGGGCGUCCGGUGAAAACCACGUGGCUUGGGACCGGAAGGCUCGAGGGGUACGUCCGGGGUAGGAGUGAAAUCCUGUAAUCCUGGACGGACCACCGAUGGCGAAAGCACCUCGAGAAGACGGAUCCGACGGUGAGGGACGAAAGCUAGGGUCUCGAACCGGAUUAGAUACCCGGGUAGUCCUAGCUGUAAACGAUGCUCGCUAGGUGUGGCACAGGCUACGAGCCUGUGCUGUGCCGUAGGGAAGCCGAGAAGCGAGCC
rnacentral:rRNA from 1 species